rnacentral:rRNA from 1 species
AAACCAACAGGGAUUGCCUCAGUAACGGCGAGUGAAGCGGCAAAAGCUCAAAUUUGAAAUCUAGCACCUUCGGUGUUCGAGUUGUAAUUUGAAGAUGGUAACCUUGGGUUUGGCUCUUGUCUAUGUUCCUUGGAACAGGACGUCAUAGAGGGUGAGAAUCCCGUCUGAUGAGAUGCCCAUUCCUAUGUAAGGUGCUAUCGAAGAGUCGAGUUGUUUGGGAAUGCAGCUCUAAGUGGGUGGUAAAUUCCAUCUAAAGCUAAAUAUUGGCGAGAGACCGAUAGCGAACAAGUACAGUGAUGGAAAGAUGAAAAGAACUUUGAAAAGAGAGUGAAAAAGUACGUGAAAUUGUUGAAAGGGAAGGGCAUUAGAUCAGACUUGGUGUUUUACGAUUAUCUUCUCUUCUUGAGUUGUGCACUCGUAUUUCACUGGGCCAGCAUCGAUUCGGAUGGCAAGAUAAUGGCAGUUGAAUGUGGCUUCACUUCGGUGGAGUGUUAUAGCUUCUGCUGAUAUUGCCUGUCUGGAUCGAGGGCUGCG